ACUAUUUUGGCAGAUAAGUGCGGUGGAUUUAGAAUCUAUUUAUGUAUUUUGUUUAGUACAUUUAGUG
rnacentral:tRNA from 1 species